rnacentral:rRNA from 1 species
CAGCAGCCGCGGUAAUACGUAGGUGGCAAGCGUUGUCCGGAAUUAUUGGGCGUAAAGGGCUCGCAGGCGGUUUCUUAAGUCUGAUGUGAAAGCCCCCGGCUCAACCCGGGGAGGGUCAUUGGAAACUGGGGAACUUGAGUGCAGAAGAGGAGAGUGGAAUUCCACGUGUAGCCGGUGAAAUGCGUAGAGAUGUGGAGGGACACCAGUGGCGAAGGCGACUCUCUGGUCUGUAACUGACGCUGAGGAGCGAAAGCGUGGGGAGCGAACAGGAUUAGAUACCCUGGUAGUCCACCGCCCGUAAACGAUGAGUGCUAAGUUGUUGGGGGGUUCCGCCCCUUAGUGCUGCAGCUAACGCAUUAAGCACUCCGCCUGGGGAGUACGGUCGCAAGACUGAAACUCAAAGGAAUUGAGGG